rnacentral:lncRNA from 1 species
GUCUCGAUGGAGGAGCAAGAAACGGAAGAGGUCGGGGGGAGAAGCAGCCGGAAAAAUGCAGCCACCGUCAACGCCGCCUCCCUGCCACCGUGCUUCGGGGUAAAAAGCUGCCGUUGCCGUCGGUGCAGUUGCCGUCGCUGCCUCCUAUACUUCUCUUGGCCUCGGGGAAGGAUUUCCCCACCGGUGGGACAAUGUGCGGGGAGGGGAGUGGGAAUUCCUUUAUAUGGCGGUGAUUAAACGAGGGAGGGACAGACAGUGAUCUCGAAGAAAAAAGGGGGAGACCAAAGAAUAAAAGAAGGGUUUCCCCACUAAAAUGACACGGCGAUUCCGGCUCUUGUUUUGGGGGUCUUUCCCCGAAAUGGUUUCCGUCUUCCCCUUGCCCCGCAGCGACCCAGAGCGCUGGGGGAAGCGGAGUGGGGAGAGGCAGAGGCGGUCUCGGCAGCCAAUCAGCGCCUGAUGUGUCCUGUCGGGCGCGUCGUGGUUGGCUGGCGAUGACCUCAUCCUGCAGCAGCGGGUGGGGCCAAAGCCGUAGGGGGAGGCUGUUGCAAAGGUAGAGAGGGAGAAGUGACGAUGGUGAUCGUUGCUGCCGCGGCCGAUAUGGAACCCAAGCAGUGGCGAAGGGAAUCGCAAGGCUCUUCCCUGACCAUUUUCUACUGUCCCUGCGCGAGGUGAGGGCCCCGGCUCGGCCUCUGCAAAACUUUGGGGCGCUGGCGCGGAGGAGGAGACAGGAUUUCUCCCGUGACUUUUGUAACUGCGUCAGGGCAAGAUGGCGCUGGGUCUCUUUGGGGCGCGGGGGGAGAGGCACGUCCACCGCCGCAGCGCAUGUGACCGGGCUGCAUUCCUGUGGGGUUUGGCUCCGACCCAGGCCGGGGCGGGGGAGGGGACAGGGCUUGGGCGGAGGAGACUGUGGUGCGGUCGGCGUUGGCGGCCUGAAGAGGAAGAGAUGACUGUUGGAAAGCGUUCCCCUCCCCCAUACGGCAGAACAGCUGCGGCUCCCAGGGGAAAGCCCCCGCAGGACAGUCCUCGUGGGGUGUGACGGCUGUUGGUGGAGAAGAUUCUUCAUUUGAAAAAUGGGAAAAAGAAGUAAUAUCACGUACCUUGACCAUGGUAUCAGAGAAUGACCUCAGAAGUUGUGAGGGAAUUCUCAGACAAAACUUUGAAAUAUAAUCCAGGAUUCAAUCAGGUAUUAUUUUAAUCUUUAAGUAGUCUUGAUGGGUUGCAAACUUUCAUGAAUAGAGGAGAGCUGCUAAGUACUUGGGUUAAGAGGGCUUGAGACCAACUCCGGUAUAAAUUGUGACAUUCUGUCUAUAUA